UCGUGGAAUGUCUUUCACGUUUUUUGCUAUAGCUGAUCUUUCAUAAACUCCUAAAUUGUCACCUCAUUAGUUAUUUUGAUUGACAUAGAAUAUAGAGAAUUCAUCAUGUUGAUGUAAUGCCCCGCGGCAGCCUGGGCACAUCUUACAUUUAUGAGUGCAGUAGUUUUUACUGUUUUGAUUUGUUUCUUUUUUAGAUUUUGUGUAUCACUGAAAGAGAACCAGCAUUUUGGUUGUCGUUUCAGGAGGAAAAUGACUUGACAGUCAAUGCCAGGGUGACAAUAAAUUCAAUUACAGCAGUCAUCACAGAUCACAUGCAAGUUAUGUUUACAUAACGUUUUGAGAAUUCAUCAUGUAGGGUGCAAUAGUUUUGAUUUUUUUUUCCUUUAGAUUUUCCUUUAGAUUUCGCGUUUAGACUGAAUGAGAGCCAUCUGUUCUUUCAAGGUAAAAGGUCAACACCACCAACACGGUCAACAAAGUUCUUUGUUUGUUACCCUGUUGGCUGCUGCCACUUCGAUCCCCAGCCCUAUAUCCUUGGAAUGGGCCCACUCUUAUUUUGAGGAUAAUCCUGUGCCGGUAUUCCAUGGACGGAAUUCAGUGGUGGAAACUGACGACAGAUCAGUGACGACUGACUAACGUGCUGACAUUCAGCAAUAAAGCUCACAUGCGUGCCAUCCUUCCGUCGCUUCGAGGCAUGGUUGUGCCUGCUCCAGCGUAAUUCAACUACCCAACCGGCGGCUUGUCCACUCACCCCUCGCUGACACCUACUACCCUUCCUGUCGUCUCUCAACAAAGCACGGGGUUUGAUCCUUAAAUCGUCUAGAUCUGUUUGUGAUCUGUGAUGGCGGUAUCUUGAGGACGACGAUGAUGUUCUAACCUACAGGUUCCUAAAUUUGCAUGCCGGACUUUAUGAUAAGUAAUGUCCUUUCAAGAAAGUCAACAAGAUCCCUUGUUUGCUAACUCAAUGGCUG